AGUGAACGCUGGCGGUAGGCCUAACACAUGCAAGUCGAACGGUAGCACAGUAAGAGCUUGCUCUUACGGGUGGCGAGUGGCGGACGGGUGAGGAAUACAUCGGAAUCUACUUUUUCGUGGGGGAUAACGUAGGGAAACUUACGCUAAUACCGCAUACGACCUACGGGUGAAAGCAGGGGAUCUUCGGACCUUGCGCGAUUGAAUGAGCCGAUGUCGGAUUAGCUAGUUGGCGGGGUAAAGGCCCACCAAGGCGACGAUCCGUAGCUGGUCUGAGAGGAUGAUCAGCCACACUGGAACUGAGACGCGAUCCAGACUCCUACGGGAGGCAGCAGUGGGGAAUAUUGGACAAUGGGCGCAAGCCUGAUCCAGCCAUACCGCGUGGGUGAAGAAGGCCUUCGGGUUGUAAAGCCCUUUUGUUGGGAAAGAAAAGCAGCAGGUUAAUACCCCGCUGUUCUGACGGUACCCAAAGAAUAAGCACCGGCUAACUUCGUG
rnacentral:rRNA from 1 species